GCGCCAUCUUUGCCUCAGGCGGCAAAAUGUCUUUGAGCUGCCUUGACCCAGAGGCUGGUGCUUUUGGCUGGCUCUCCUCCAACACUUCCACCUAGUAGCAGAUCAUGGGGUGUCUGCAAAAGAAGGAAAGGGGUAGAUCUCUGAACUGUGGGGAGAACCCAAAGUGUUCGUGCUGACCAUUAAAGCCCUAAACGACCUCAAUGCAGUAUAUCUGAAGGAGCAUCUCCACCACCAUCGUUCAGCCCGGACACUGAGGUCCAACGUCAAGGGCCUUCUGGCGGUUCCCUCAUUGCGAGAAGUGAGGCUACAGGGAACCAGGCAGAGGGCCUUCUCAGUAGUGGCGCCUGCCCUCCCAUUAGAUGUCAAAGAAAAAAACAACUACCAGACUUUUAGAAGAAAUCUGAAGGCAGCCCUGUUUAGGGAAGCUUUUAAUGUUUAAUAGAUUAUUGUAUUUUAGUAUUCUGUUGGAAGAGUGGCUGGGGAAACCCAGCCAGAUGGGCGGGGUAUAAAUUAUUAUUAUUAUUAUUAUUAUUAUUAUUAUUAUUAUUACCACCUGAACAAGCUAGCUCAUUUAUUUGUGGUCAGCGUGAUAUCUGUACAGCUUUUUGGCCUGACCCCCCUCUCAGAAUGUUUUAUCUGAUGCUUCAUUGUAGGUUGUAAACCACUUUGAGAUUUUUUCUUCUUCUUAAAAAUAUAAAGUGGUAGAAGAAUGAAGUGAAUAAUAACAACAACAACAACAAUAAGAUAACAAAAUGAUGUGUUUUCUUUCAAAUAUGAAUAAUAUUAUUCAUGAUAUUACAACAACCGUAAUAGGAAGACAGCAAACUCCACAAAACGGGGACACUGAAACAAGAAUCUGACAGCACAAUCCUCAACACGUCAACUCACAGCUAAGCCCCCUGUAGCUCAGUGGCUGAGCAUCUGCUUUGCAUGCAGAAGGUCCCUGGUUCGAUUCCCGGCAUCUCUGUUUAGGGCUGGGAAUGUUCCCUCAGUGAAACUCUGAAGAGCUGUUGCCAGUCAGGGGAGACAAUAGUGGAGUAGCUGGACCAGUGUCUUCACUCAGCAUAAGACUGCUUCCUGUGUUCCUAUUGAAUUCAGCAGGGCUUAUUCCCAGGUAAGAGGGCUAGGACGUUUCCGAGCACAAGCAUUGGUGCUGACCUUUAAAGCCCCAAACAGCCUCGGUCCAGUAUACCUGGAGGAGCAUCUCCACCACCGCUAUUCAGCCUGGACACUGAGGUCCAGCUCCGAGGGCCUUCUGGCGGUUCCCUCACUGCGAGAAGUAAGGUUGCAGGGAACCAGGCAGAGGGCCUUCUUGGUAGUGGCCCCCGCCCUGUGGAAUGCCCUCCCAUCAGAUGUCAAGGAAAUAAACAACUACAGUGGUACCUCGGGUUACAGACGCUUCAGGUUACAGACUAAAAUAGUACCUUGGGUUAAGAACUUUGCUUCAGGAUGAGAACAGAAAUUGUGCUCCGGCGGCGCAGCGGCAGCGGGAGACCCCCAUUAGCUAAAGUGGUACCUCAGGUUAAGAACAGUUUCAGGUUAAGAACAGACCUCCAGAAUAAAUUAAAUUCUUAACUCGAGAUACCACUAUAUCUGACUUUUAGAGGACAUUUGAAGACAGCCCUGUUUAGGAAAGCUUUUAAUUUUUUUGAUGAGUUAUUGUAUUUUAAUAUUUUGCUGGAAGCCGCCCAGUGUGGCUGGGGUAACCCAGCCAGAUGGGUGGGGUAUAAAUAAAUUAUUAUUAUUAUUAUUAGCCUAAAUUAUCCAAGAAAAAAAUAAUAAUACAGAAAAUAACAGUCUUACCAACGCAUGAAACGCAUAUGUGGAAACAUAGGAAACGAACUGUACUAGUGAAGACCAGCAUUGAAUUGUUAUGGUGUAUCUAACAGGUUGGAGCAGGAGCCUUUGUGCUUUGGGGCGGGUGGAGUUUCAAGAAGGGAAACAGGGAAAAGUUUCUCUCCUCUCCCCGCUCUGCUUCCAGCCCCAAACCUAAGCAUUUUAUUGCGAUAUAGCGGGUUGGUGGUUCCUUUCUCUCUCACUUUACUUUCUCCCACCUUUCUGAGUGAAAACUCAGCAGUCCACAUGCCUGUGAAAGCUGACAGGUCCUUGUCAGAUCGUUUUGGGACUGUGGUGGGGUUUAAAAUACAUUUAUUUUUAAUUUACUAGCACAUAUUUUGCAUUCCUAGGGAUUUCCCCCCAAAGUAAGCAGAAGUCACUACCUUACUUUUGACUAGCCACUGGGCCACCUGUUUUUUGCUGUUGGAGACCUGCAACAAGAUGUUGCAGCGUGGAGGACUCCCCUUCCAUCUUCCAUUCAUUGAAAUGAAUGAAUCUAAAUUAGUCGUGCCCAUUAGCUUCAACGGGUCUACUCCAGGUAGGACUACAGUUGAAUGCAAUUGGCUGAAAUAGGUGUGGAUCUAGACAGACAGACUGAUAGAUAUACAAUAUAUAUUUGUGAUUGCUUGAUAUAAAUCCAUAUGUCCAUCUGUUCUUCCAUAGCGGAAUGCAAACUGUAUAGCUGAUGCAUUUAAUAAUGAGGAAGUAGAGGGGAAAAAGCAGAAUAACAACAUAGCAUAAUGUUACCGUGCUGCUGUUUGGCCUGUUCAGCAGAAAACCAAAUAAUAAUAAUAAUAAAUGUGACCUCAUCUUUAAAUCACACGUGGGCAAAUUAAUCAGAAAGUUUACUUGUGAGCUUUCAUACGUAAGUGGCUAAACGGUGCCUUGCUGUCAAUAAAAGUUACAUAUUAUUAUAGAAUUGUAUAGCUGAAAUUCACUGUUUCGACCUAUUCUGACCCAUUCACAAAUGACUUGGACAGGACUAUUGAGACAGGGUCGCUCCCAUUGUUCUGUGGGAAUUUUCGCAGCAACCUCACAGUAAUAUCGUGGCCGGCAAAUGACUGGCAAGACCUGGUUUUGAAUAUUGUACAGAGGUUUGAGAGGAGAAAGGGGGAAGAGCCCAGUAGUAAGUUGUUUGUAAAUGUCUAAAUCACACUUCUGACCUUACUUUGCGACAAACUCUAUGGCUGUAAACAUGGCCCGAGUAUUCCAUUCUCAGCAAUGUGUGUGUGUGUGUGUGUGUGUGUGUGUGUGUGUGUAAUAUAUAUGUGUAUUAUACACAGAAGGCAUUGAAAACAAAACAGUUUGGCAUUGACCAAAUGAUAACCGUUGAGGCUCUUUUGCCACACACAGAACAGUUAUAACAAUCUUUUACGAGUCGCCAACACAGAUCCAAACCUACGGCGCCGAUCCUAGCCAACAGACCUACUCGCAAGCAAGUUCUGCUGCCACCAACGAGACUUACUCCUGAGUAAAUGCAUGCACUCAGGUGGCACCAGAGAGACACAGCCGAAAGAGAGCUUCACUUUGCCAAGCCUUCAUCCUAGCCGUAUCUUCCCCAGACCCUUCCUCCCUGGUUUGUUUGUUUUCAGGAACUGACAAUAGCGCUGCCUUGCUCAAAGUUACCAUAGCAGUCAUUAAAUAAUACAUUGCUGCCUCUCCUGGUGAUCUAAUUUUUUUUUAAAACAGCCCAGCAGAAACUCAUCUUAGCAUGCAGGAGUUUCCAUUGAUAAGUCUCCAGGUUUUUUGGGGGUGAUUAAUUUUUGGGGGUCUUGUAAUAUUGAAAUGACCCAAAAAUAAUGAUGAUACCAACAACAACUUCUACAACAACAAUAAACCGGGUCUCUUUAAUCUUAGCCACGCAAAGCC